rnacentral:rRNA from 1 species
UACGUAGGGUGCAAGCGUUGUCCGGAAUUAUUGGGCGUAAAGAGCUCGUAGGCGGUUUGUCGCGUCUGCUGUGAAAACUCGGGGCUUAACUCCGGGCCUGCAGUGGGUACGGGCAGACUAGAGUGCGGUAGGGGAGACUGGAAUUCCUGGUGUAGCGGUGAAAUGCGCAGAUAUCAGGAGGAACACCGGUGGCGAAGGCGGGUCUCUGGGCCGUAACUGACGCUGAGACGCGAAAGCGUGGGGAGCGAACAGG